AAGUUAAAUUUGACCAUAUUUUCUCAAAAUGUUUUAUGCAAUAUAUUUUAAAGUAACAGAUUAUACAGACCUAUAGAUGCAGAGUCAUUGAAUCAUUUAUUUUUUAUAUUUCAAUGGCUCCUUGUGUCAUUCUGUGAUUUAAUAUCCUUUAAUAGUAUUCUAUUGUAUGAAAAUAUUAAUACUUACGACAAAAUUGAAGAGGAAUAUUUUUCUUAUUGAUAUAUUCCACUACUUUAAAUUGUACUUCUUCAUUGGGUUUAUCCUUAAGUGAAUUUUUUUCUUCUUAAAGGGAAUCAACAAAAUUCCGGAAAUAGCCCAAAUAGUCGAACAACUUCAAGAAUACAAGCGAGUGUACCAACUAGUUCUAUCGGAGGUGGCAUUUCACCUUCUUUAUUUACUCAGCAACAGCAAAAUGUAGUCCUUGGUAAUACCACUCAUUUCCCAGUCAGUAAUAGCUUGAUGAUUGGAGAUUAUGCCACUCCAGGAAAUAUUGUUAUGCCCGGUCAAAUUGAUUUGGUCAGCGCAUUUAAACAUUCUUAAAAUUUUUCAUUUGCAGCAGCAGUAUUAAAAGAACUAUAUUAGGGUCUGAAAAACUCAAGGCCUCAGACAGAUAUUAAUUUGCUCUGCUCUAUUUUGAAAUUAUUUAUCUUUUACCAAAGUGACUCUGCUGAAAUAAUGUAAUUCUUCCUUAAAUUAUUUUCAUGAUAGUUAAUUUAAUGUUAUUUUAAUUAUUUAAUUUAGCUCAUCGACGUAUUUUUAAUAAUGUAAACCACUCUCUUAAAAAAGGAACAUUGAAAUUUCUGGAUGAUUGAUGUAAAUGUGAUAUUUAAUUAUUGACAUUUUAAAUCUGUGAAUUAGCGACGACUGGAAAUUUGUAGCAUUGUAAUUAAACAUUUGUUGUAUUAUUGCAUUCCAAAGUAUCCAUCUUUGUUUAAAAUUCUAAUAUGGUUGUCAUUGGUUUUAAAAAAAAAAUUUGCCUUAAAAUUGGCAGCUAAUAUAGAAGCAUUUCUUUUUAACCUCCAUGAAUUUUGAGUCAUAAAAUAGGAUUGUUUUAGUUGCAACUCUUUUUACUUAUUCAACUUUGAAAAAACAUUCCUUUAAGAUAUUUUCUAACAAUUUCUCUGUGGAUUUUUUUUUUUUUCUUUCUCUUUGCACUUGAAGUUUAGAUCAAUAUCUCUAGUACUAGUUUUUGUUUUUUUUCUAAAAACAUUCCAAUUUGUUUUUAAAAAAAGCUGAUAAAAAUCUAAACCAUUUUAGCUAUUAUAAUUUCCUUAUUUCGAAAAAAAAAUUAGACCUAUAAAUUCCAAAGGAAGGAAGUUAUGUAAAUAAAUAUUAAUAUUAAAUUAUGUUCUAUUAUGCUGCAAUUAUGUUGACAAUCAGAUAAAUUCAACAAAUUUAUGUUAUAAGAUUAUUUUUUGUCUAACUAUACUAAAAGUUUUGUCAUCUUUUCUGUAUUUGCAGUUUCGUUUGUAUUUAUGAUGUAAAUGUGCUGAACCCGAUUAAUUUAUUAUACUAUCGCACCCUAGGGGAAAAAAAUUACAAGUUUUAUCUUAAUUUUUGUUUCUUUUUAUCCUGCAAUUAGUAGAGACUACACAGUUCUUUUUUUCUUUCUUGUGCAACGACUAAGCUAUAUGCAGAUCAACCAGUUUAAUAAGGUUACUCAUUUUCCGUUUUGGUUUAAGAAACAUGAUUUAUGAAGAAGAAAAAAUUUAUACAAAACACAAAUUUUAUUGCCAUGAAUUUUAUUUGUUACUUGACGGAUGUUUUUAUGCAUGAAAAUAACUAUUACUAUUCCUGUGUAAAUAAACCUUAUAUUUCAACAUUUAUAGUUUUGAGAUUUCAGUGAUAUUUUUUAUCUGUUAUCUUAUGACGAAAAUUAUUACCUAAUUUACAUUUUCUUAUUACUACUUUAGGUGAAAAUAUUAAUUUCAAUCUCUGAUUUAUGAAAAAUUCAGUUUUUUCCUUCAAUUUUAUUUUUACGACAACGUUUAAUACUAAUAUAUUUCUAGGUGUACCGAAUUAAGACUGAAAAAAAAAUGGUAAUGACCACAGAAAAAGUAAAGGUCACCACUUACUAAUAUUGUGCUUUUUAAGAUAACUAAUGUUGUAAAACUUAUUCGAUCAAGUUAUAGUUGAUAGCCUAUGGAAUUCCAGAAAAAUAAAACUUCUAAAUCUAGUUAAUUUUUAAAAAAAAUUCUGUAUGUGAAUUUCAUAAAGCAUGAAUAUUAGUGAGGAAAAUAUAACAGUAUCUGCACAAAUUAUGAAUUUAUUUUUUCGUAAAGCAAGGUUUAAAGCCUUGAUUUUUUAUUGUCUCGUUGUAUGAGACGUUUUGUAUUGUCUACUAUAAAUAUGUGUGUAAACAUUGUAUCAAAUUAGUGUCAUUUGCCUGUUGCAUAAUCCAUUUUAACAUAAGUUGUGAGAGUUGCAAACAAUGAAUGCGGACUGUUCUUCCAGCUAUACUUCAGUUUGGUGACCAGAAUAAAUUUAAAAGUGAGA
rnacentral:lncRNA from 1 species